rnacentral:rRNA from 1 species
GGGCCCGCACAAGCGGUGGAGCAUGUGGUUUAAUUCGACGCAACGCGAAGAACCUUACCUGGUCUUGACAUCCUGCGAACUUUCUAGAGAUAGAUUGGUGCCUUCGGGAACGCAGUGACAGGUGCUGCAUGGCUGUCGUCAGCUCGUGUCGUGAGAUGUUGGGUUAAGUCCCGUAACGAGCGCAACCCUUGUCCUUAUUUGCCAUCAUUUAGUUGGGCACUCUAGGGAGACUGCCGGUGACAAAACCCGGAGGAAGUGGGGGACGACGUCAAGUCAUCAUGGCCCUUACGACCAGGGCUACACACGUGCUACAAUGGGGCGUACAAAAGGGUUGCAAAUCCCCGCGAGGGGGAGCU